CCUACGGGAGGCAGCAGUGAGGAAUAUUGGUCAAUGGCCGGAAGGCUGAACCAGCCAAGCCGCGUGAAGGACGAAGGUGCCAAGCAUUGUAAACUUCUUUUGUCAAGGGACAAAAUCAGGCUCGAGAGCCUGACCGAGGGUACUUGAAGAAAAAGCAUAGGCUAACUCCGUGCCAGCCGCCGCGGUAAUACGGAGGAUGCGAGCGUUAUCCGGAUUUAUUGGGUUUAAAGGGUGCGUAGGCGGGCUGUUAAGUCAGCGGGAAAAGCCCGGGGCUCAACCCCGGCGAGCCGUUGAAACUGGCUGUCGUGAGAGGACGAGAGGGGAGCGGAAUGCGCAGUGUAGCGGUGAAAGGCUGAGAUAUUGGGCAGAACUCCGAUGGCGAAGGCAGCAUACCGGCGGCGAUCUGACGCUGAGGCACGAAAGCGUGGGUAUCGAACAGGAUUAGAUACCCUAGUAGUC
rnacentral:rRNA from 1 species